rnacentral:rRNA from 1 species
GACGAACGCUGGCGGCGUGCUUAACACAUGCAAGUCGAACGGUGAAAGCGGAGCUUGCUCCGCUGGAUCAGUGGCGAACGGGUGAGUAACACGUGGGCAACCUGCCCCUCACUUCGGGAUAACUCCGGGAAACCGGGGCUAAUACCGGAUAUGACCUCCUUGGGCAUCCUUGGAGGUGGAAAGUUUUUCGGUGAGGGAUGGGCCCGCGGCCUAUCAGCUUGUUGGUGAGGUAGGGGCUCACCAAGGCGACGACGGGUAGCCGGCCUGAGAGGGCGACCGGCCACACUGGGACUGAGACACGGCCCAGACGCCUACGGGAGGCAGCAGUGGGGGAUAUUGCGCAAUGGGCGAAAGCCUGACGCAGCAACGCCGCGUGCGGGAUGACGGCCUUCGGGUUGUAAACCGCUUUCAGCAGGGAAGAAGCCGCAAGGUGACGGUACCUGCAGAAGAAGCACCGGCUAACUACGUGCCAGCAGCCGCGGUAA